UACGUAGGGUGCGAGCGUUGUCCGGAAUUAUUGGGCGUAAAGGGCUCGUAGGCGGUUUGUCGCGUCGGGAGUGAAAUCCACUGGCUUAACUGGUGGCUUGCUUUCGAUACGGGCAGACUGGAGGCAUGCAGGGGAGAACGGAAUUCCUGGUGUAGCGGUGAAAUGCGCAGAUAUCAGGAAGAACACCCGUGGCUAAGGCGGCUCUCUAGUACGGUACUGACGCUGAGACGCGAAAGCGUGGGGAGCGAACAGG
rnacentral:rRNA from 1 species